rnacentral:lncRNA from 1 species
UAAAUUUUAAAUUUUAAAUUUUAAAUUUUAAAAAUUAAAAUUUAAAAAUUCAAAUAUGAAUUUAAAAUUUCAAAAUUUAAAUUUAAUGUUAAAUUUAUACUUUAAAUCUAAAAUAAAAAUAAAAAAUUUGAGUCCAAAAUCAUAAUCAGUUUUGGAAAAGCAAUUUUUUUCUGAUUCUGAUUCUAGAGCCUUCAAAGGCUUAAUUAGUUUGAUAUUGAGGCCUAUCUAACGCUAUUAGAUAAAUAAAGUUUGGGUAAAAGCAUAUAAAAAUAUGCUUCUUCGUUCUCCGAUGGGACCGCAGAAAAUAUACUGUAACCGACUAAUCGCGAUAUACAAAAUGCAAUAUUAUGUACGAAAAUAAACUCGUACUUUCUCAACGCACGUAACGCAAUCUCCCCAUAAUCCCAAACGAAGCCAAAAUCAGUUUUCUGAUUCUAAAAAGCAGAAUCAAAUUUUCUAUCUGUCGUUCCCAAACGGUCUACUGAGUUGAAAAGUAAUUUUAAGCUCAAAAUCACUUCUAAGAAGUUAGACCAAACACCCCCUAAAUUAGCUUCUAAAAUAGAAGUUGCUGCUACAACCAAGAACAUAAUUGCCGAAUACUGCAACUAAAAUAAACAUGUGGAUUUCUUUUCACCUAUGCCAUAAAUUCUCAUAAACAACACCUUCAUUCAUGCAUCUACGAAGGACAAAUCAAAUAUGCUUCUUGAAAAUUACAAGCGCAUGAUAAAUUAAACAGCAACCAGAGAAAACAAGAAACCCAUAGCCUAGGGCAUGACAAUCGAAAUUAGUUGACAAACAAAAAAAGAAACAGUUUUCGAUAGCUGAGCUAGGACUGUUAAGUGAUGCAUGUAAAUUUGAGCUUAGAAACACAAAUAGUGAGACAAAUAUAAUUCAGCUCCUCAGGAUAGAAUAAAAACUAGUAACGAGAAAUGUUUCUCGAUAACCAUUUGUUUAACUUGCAACCAGCUGACCGCCUGAAUUCUGCAGAAGUAACGUAGGAAUAAAAAUAACUAACGGAUCAAUUGGCGUGCUAUCAUCUUUCUGACAUAAACACAAACAAACACAAGAAAACAUAAACCAUGGCAAAUACUGGGAUCUUUCAUCAAGAUAAAGAAUCAUCUAAUUUUUGAAAAGAGCCACUACCUUUUAGCUCAAGCACAGCAUAGUCUAAAUCUAUGGAUGAGAAAAGAGAAGGCAUUGGUCACUGGGAAUUAGGGAUCCUGCUUGUAUAAAGACGUAUAUUACCUGGUAGAAAUCAUAUGCCAACACUACGGUGAUAUUUCCUUCCGAGAUAAGAGUAACAGGAGCAGUGCUACUAGUUGUAGACCAUGUAUUUGGGCGUUCCGCUGAACUUCUGACAACCCUUAAUAACCUUAUUCACUGCAUCAAGAAAGUCCUUUUCUGUUACCGUCUUCCUGUGUGCCCGGAUCGCAUACAUCCCGGCUUCGGUGCACACACUCCUUAUGUCCACCCCUAAUAUAAAGAAAUACAGGAAAUAGUUAGGAACUUAUAAAGAACAAAUAGAGCAAUUUUGAUGUUUGUCCAAGUAAAAUAGACCGUAGAAAAACAUAUGACACCAAGCAUCUAAGUUCCAAGCAUUCGGACUGGCUUUUACUUUUUUUUACUUUUAAAGAAAAGGAGAAAAAAAGUGUAUCGGAGCAUAGUAACUNUAUGCUUACGUGCUUUUCAAUGGAACUACAAAAAUCAUUUCUUCAAAACUGAAUUAGCCUAGAUGUUAUGUAAGCUGAACUAUAUAUCCUUAACUAACAGGAAAGAUGCAUGAACCAAGCUCAGAACCUCUUAAACCAGAAGGGAAUGAAUAAUGACUCAGAAUACUGUAUUAUCCACCAAAUUAAUAUAUAUAUAUAUUAAUUGUAUUAAAAAAUAUUCUAGAACUAACCUGGACAAGGUUGAAGCUACAAUUUCUUUGUGUAUGAAGAAGGAUUAGUCAUCUUCCCGCUUAAUUCAUACUUGCCAUGUGUGAUUUCCUACUUGGGUCUCUACAAGCAAGCAGAAAAGCUUUAAAGCUUGAGAAACAAGUUAGCAGACUAAAGCCGAAGACUUGGAUAUGAUUAACAAUAGACUUGUACUACUCUCACAACUAAGGCGACAUCUAUAACACGGUUUCUUUCUAAAAGCCUCGAGUAGAAAAGGAACUUAAUAUGAGGAAACACUGGUGGACUCAAAUAGUAAGUCUGAUACUUCUGCUGCAUCGAAAAGCUAAUAAAUAAAUUAGCUUCUAAAAUAGAAGUUGCUACUACAACAAGAACAUAAUUGCCGAAUACUGCAACUAAAAUAAAAAUGUGGAUUUCUUUUCACCUAUGCCAUAAAUUCUCAUAAACAACACCUUCAUUCACGCAUCUACGAUGGACAAAUCAAAUAUGCUUCGUGAAAAUUACAAGCGCAUGCUAAAUUAAACAGCAAGCAGAGAAAACAAAAACCCGUAGCCUAGGGCAUGACAAUCAAAAUUAGUUGACAAACAAAAAAGGAAACAGUUUUCAAUAGCUGAGCUAGGACUGUUAAGUGAUGCAUGUAAAUUUGAGCUUAGAAACACAAAUAGUGAGACAAAUAUAAUUCAGUUCCUCAGGAUAGAAUUUAAACUAGUAACAAGAAAUGUUUCUCGAUAACCAUUUGUUUAACUUGCAACCAGCUGACUGCCUGAAUUCUGCAGAAGGAACGUAGAAAUAAAAAUAACUAACAGAUCAAUUGGCGUGCUGUCAUCUUUCUGACAUAAACACAAACAAACACACAAGAAAACAUAAACCAUGGCAAAUACUGGGAUCUUUCAUCAAGAUAAAGAAUCAUCUAAUUUCUGAAAAGAGCCACUACCUUUUGCUCAAAGCACACCAUAGUCUAAAUCUAUGGAUGAGAAAAGAGAAG